CAGUCGCCGCGGGAACACGGAGGGUGCAAGCGUUAAUCGGAAUUACUGGGCGUAAAGCGUGCGUAGGCGGUUCGUUAAGUCUGUUGUGAAAGCCCCGGGCUCAACCUGGGAAUGGCAAUGGAUACUGGCGAGCUAGAGUGUGUCAGAGGAUGGUGGAAUUCCCGGUGUAGCGGUGAAAUGCGUAGAGGUCGGGAGGAACAUCAGUGGCGAAGGCGGCCAUCUGGGACAACACUGACGCUGAGGCACGAAAGCGUGGGGAGCAAACAGGAUUAGAUACCCCUGUAGUCCCUGUCUCUUAUAC
rnacentral:rRNA from 1 species